rnacentral:rRNA from 1 species
UACGGAAGGCAGUAGUGGGGAAUAUUGCACAAUGGGCGCAAGCCUGAUGCAGCCAUGCCGCGUGUAUGAAGAAGGCCUUCGGGUUGUAAAGUACUUUCAGCGGGGAGGAAGGGAGUAAAGUUAAUACCUUUGCUCAUUGACGUUACCCGCAGAAGAAGCACCGGCUAACUCCGUGCCAGCAGCCGCGGUAAUACGGAGGGUGCAAGCGUUAAUCGGAAUUACUGGGCGUAAAGCGCACGCAGGCGGUUUUGUUAAGUCAGAUGUGAAAUCCCCGGGCUCAACCUGGGAACUGCAUCUGAUACUGGCAAGCUUGAGUCUCGUAGAGGGGGUAGAAUUCCAGGUGUAGCGGUGAAAUGCGUAGAGAUCUGGAGGAAUACCGGUGGCGAAGGCGGCCCCUGGGACGAAGACUGACGCUCAGGUGCGAAAGCGUGGGGAGCAAACAGGAUUAGAUACC